CAUUACGUAUGUUCUCUAGGAUAUAACGUCCAGGCUAGUACUGACUUUUAACAUUUGAUUCAACCUUUUAGACUCUUAGUGCUGUAUUUUAAUGGACAUCAUAUGUUUUAUAUUGUGCUGUCUUGGCUCUAUUAAAGUUAUUUUUAAUUUCUUUUAUAUCUUUCAUUAUAAUGUAUUAAAAAUAUUUCGCUAAAAUGGGCAUUGACAAUCUUUAUUUUCGCUAAAAUGUCCUAUCAAUGCGCUAAAUUGUCCUCCACCAAUUAUUUUAUGUUGUUUGAUUUUUGGUCAUGUACCUCGUAUUUCCUCAUGUAGUCAGAACAGGUAUUUCUACAUUCUUGGUUUUCAAAUGUUAAGUUAGGAUUUAUGAUUCUUGAUGAAGGCAAAUCUAGAAACGCUCAAGAUUCGAAUGUACGAUAUUUAUCAAGCGUUAUCUUUCUCAUUUAUACGUUAUAUAUUUAUGUAAAAACACUGCCUGUCUCACAAAACACGUGAUUCUUGACAUCAAAUAUUAAACAGUUAAACUGUUUUAAAAAUACAUCAUUAAAUAAAAAUAUAUUCGUUUACGGAAGUACUCUAGACCUUAACAUGCUUAACCAACCAAAUCAAAACACAGAUCUGACGCUGAUUUAACAAUACUAAAACAAUCAAUUAUUCUAUACAUAUAUAAACCAUUACUUCCAUGUUUUCAAGAGUAAUAAAAAUCAUCAAUUUCCUUUUCCCUUCUAAUGGUAUUUCAUUGAAUGGAUUUUGAAUUCCAUGAAAACAUGCGGUACCAAAAAAAAAAAAAAAAAAAACCCCAACAAAAGCUACUUCUCAUUAGUUUUGUUGAAACCUAUUUAUAUGAAUGUAUUUAUUGGUUUUGGCACACAGGAAUAGUGUCACAAUCUCUUAAAUUCGACUUGUUAUAUCAAAUGUAACCCAAUUUAUACGUUUACAACUUUGGAAAUUAACGAUGGUAAUGUAAUAAAUAAUAAAUAAUUAAUCAGAUUACCUCUUUUAAUUGUGAUAACAUGUAAUCCGUGAACUUGCUGACUUUAAAAAUAAAUGAACAAACGUAUUUGUGUCGAAGAUUUGUUUAUUACGAUACGCCUUUUUAACACUUAGGAACAUUCCAAAUAUUUAUGCGUCAUCAAUAUUGAUGAAUGGCGUGACGUUAUCAAAUGUUUAUAUAUAGUCCACACAUUGUUGAAAGUCCAUUCAUGACGUCAAACCAACCAGCAUGUAAUAUAGUAUAUAUAUAUUUUCGUCAAUCCCUUUUUGUCGUCAUUUUAUGAAUGAAGUAAUACAUGGGAAAUCCUUACAGGUAUUUACUAUAAUUACUAUAUACUAUAGUGUGUGAUAACAUUGUGUGAGGGAAUUCGACGUUUGCUGUACCACUGUUCACUCCAGUGCAAUUUAUGACAAUACCACUGCAUCAAUCAGAAUUAUUUUGUUUGCAGUGUUUUAAGAAAUGAUUUUGCUUUGUUGUCGAGUAUUAGUUGAGAAACAUUCAAUGUUUUAAAAAGGCGAAUUUUCUGUAUAAAGUCAAUGAUUAUGUUGACUUUGAAGGCCAAACUUUCUACAGCCUUAAAUACGCUAAUGCAAGAUCCAAACUAUACCAUACAUAAUGACAUGUUUUAUGAAAUAUAACAAAUCUAUUGGUCCCAAAUUUUAUUCGUAUUGCAAAAUAAUGAACUUAAAAUAUCUGACAUUUUCUCCCUACCCAGUUUACCCCUAUACAUUUUUAUGAUGUGGACCGGUCAUUGUUGUUAAAUCGUAGGCAGUUUGAUUGGAUUAAAUUGUUAUUAGUUUACCUUCAAACUUGUUUAUGCUUUUCAUACAUGACUAUUGAUUAAUUAAAACGUGCAUGAAUGUGUACGUAACUAAAAUGACCUUCGACUGGACACUGGACGAGUCAAUAUUAUGUUUUAUCAAUGAAAGUUAAGGUAUGAAAGGUAAGAAUUGCCAAUUAUUCUAUUUUCACAAAUUUUUCGGAAUAUAUAGUUGAAAGGUUAUUUUUUAAAAGCCUAUUGUGAAGAUUAAAGAGAAAGUUUACAAAUAAUACGUUUUGUUCCAUUGAACAAGUCAUUUUCGUAAGAGAAAUGUCGAAAUAUAUUUUACGCACGAAUACGGCAGGUAUAAUUAUUAUUUAUCAUAAUCAAAAAAAACAUUUUUCAGUCUCAUUGGAAUAUGUUCAUUACAAUUAAUCCCAAACGUAAGAAGUAAGUUAAUAGAGUCAAAAUAUAUCCGAUCUGCCUAUUUCUGCACAUCAAAAGUCAAUACGAUCGUUUUAAAGUCAAUUUCGUCUACCUCACACAAUCUUGUUAGGCACUAUAGUAUUAUUGAAUCAGCUUUUUAAGUCGAUAACUUAUAGUGUCACUAUAAUAGAAAUUAGUAAAUAAAUAGCAAAAUGUAUCUAACUUGUAACACAUCAUUGCACAUAGUGGAAUAGAAUGAUGACAUACUUGUUGUAUAAUUGAGGUCACAAUGGUUCACAGUGUUAAAAUAGAAAAUCGAAAAAAUGUUUUACUACGACCUGUAAGGUUUUUUUAUUAUAUGCGUCAGUUUUGUAUAGAUACGUUAUAUAUAAUUGAAAUUAAAUCAAACCACGUCAACAAAUUUUUGAAUCCGUAUUUUGUUUUUAAUUAUUUAGAUGAUGAUUUAGAUGAUUAUGCAUUUUAUUUCAGACAAUUCAGAUAAACAUGUAUAUACAAGAUAACCUUUCAGCAAUACGAGAACCAGAAAGACAGACAAUGCAUCAACGCUUCUAUUCGGUUGAUAAAAUGUCUUAUUCAAUUCCAAAACGAAGAACACAGAGAUUAAACAGUUAUCCGUCCAGCGAAACAGAAGUAAAUAACACCAACAGUAGAAAACUUAGCGUUGACCUGUCUGAAAUAAAAUCUU
rnacentral:lncRNA from 1 species